rnacentral:rRNA from 1 species
AUGGCUCCUACUCUUUCACUUCUGCUUGCCACCACUUCCAUGGCUCUGCUCUUAUUUUCAAGAGCUGUAGCACAUGACACUCUGCCGUUGGGAUCCUCUCUAGCCGUCGAAGCCUUCCAAACCGACGUGCUGCAGUCACCGGAUGGCACCUUCUCCUGCGGCUUCUACAGCAUCUACACCGACGCCUUCACAUUUUCGAUAUGGCACUCCAAGGCUGCAGACAAAACCGUCGUCUGGAGUGCAAAUCGCGGCCGCCCUGUCCAUGUCAAAAGGGCAGCCUUCACCUUGCAGAGGGAUGGCAAUAUGGUCCUCGUAGAUUAUGAUGGCGCGGUUGUGUGGCAAGCUGGCGGCAACUUCACGAAUGUUCAGCAAGCUCAGCUGUUGGAUACUGGGAAUCUCAUCUUGAAGGAUACCGAUGGUAAGACAAUAUGGCAGAGUUUUGAUUCACCCACGGACACUAUACUGCCGACGCAACACUUCACCGCUUCUACAAAGUUAGUGCCUACAACCCGGUCACAUGUUUCUGGUAACUACAUAUUCCGUUUCAGCGAUCUUUCGGUACUGUCACUUAUAUAUGACAUUCCUGAGGUUUCGGAUAUAUACUGGCCAGACCCUGACCAGACUCUCUAUGAGGAUAAUAGAAACCAGUAUAACAAUACUAGAUUGGGGAUUUUGGACAGUAAUGGGAGUUUUGGGUCGAGUGAUUUUGCUGAUGGCCGGCCACUUGUGGCCUGUGAUGCAGGGCCAGGGAUUAAGAGAAGGCUAACUCUGGAUCCUGAUGGUAAUCUCCGGUUAUAUAGCUUGAAUGACUUAGAUGGGUCAUGGUCAGUUUCAAUGGCAGCAAUAUCUCAACCUUGCAACGUCCACGGCUUAUGCGGUCCUAAUGGAAUCUGUCACUACUCACCUAAACCUACAUGUUCGUGUGCACCAGGCUAUGUGAUGAGCAACCCGGGUAAUUGGACUGAAGGUUGCACGGCUAUUGUCAACAUAACAUGUGAUCAUCAGGAACCUAUGAAGUUUGUGAAACUCAAGCAUACAGAUUUUUGGGGCUCUGAUCAGAAACAUUUGCUCCCGGUUUCCUUUUAUUAUUGUAGGAAUAUCUGCAUGAAUGACUGCACCUGCAAAGGCUUUCAGUACCAGGAAGAUACAUCCUCAUGCUAUCCAAAAGCUAGUCUUUUCAGCGGACGGACCUACCCAACAAACGAUGCACGGACAAUAUAUCUCAAGCUUCCUGACAGGGUAAAUGUUUCAAAUACAGCUUUCCCUCGCUCCGAUGUGUUUGAUCCUGCACCACCUCAUCUUGACUGCAACCAAAUGAGCAUACCACCAAUUCUAGAAGCGCAUAACACCGAUGUGGAAGAACCAAAGUGGCUGUACUUCUACGGUUUCAUAGCUGCAUUUUUUGUCGUUGAGGUUUCCUUUAUAGCAUUCACAUGGUUCUUUGUUUUGAGAAGAGAGGUUAGGCCAUCAGAAGUAUGGGCGACCGAGGAAGGAUACAAGGUGAUGACCAGUCAUUUUAGAAGGUACAGUUACAGAGAACUUGUGAAGGCAACAAUGAAUUUCAAAGUUGAGCUGGGAAGGGGAAGCUCGGGUGUGGUGUACAAAGGUGUCUUAGAAGAUGAAAGACCAGUUGCUCUGAAGAAGCUGAAGCAUAUAAGUCGGGGCAAAGAAGAGUUCCAAGCCGAGCUGAGUGUGAUUGCUAGGAUUUACCACAUGAAUCUGGUGAGAAUAUGGGGGUUUUGUUCGGAAGGAUCUCACAGGCUGUUGGUUUGUGAAUAUGUCGAGAACGGCUCACUUGCUAGCAUUUUGUUCGGUGAUAAAAGCAUCAUCUUGCUGGACUGGAAGCAACGGUUCAAUAUUGCAUUAGGUGUUGCGAAAGGGUUGGCCUAUCUUCACCAUGAGUGCCUAGAAUGGGUCAUCCAUUGCGAUGUGAAACCCGAGAAUAUACUCUUGGACCAAAACUUUGAGCCUAAGAUCACUGACUUUGGGUUGGCAAAGUUACUAAACCGAGGUGGAUCCAACCAGAACACAUCUCAUGUGCGAGGAACCACAGGCUACAUUGCUCCCGAGUGGAUUUCCGGCCGCCCUAUCACGUCGAAAGUCGACGUGUAUAGCUAUGGAGUUGUGCUUCUUGAGCUUCUAUCUGGAAGCAGAGUAUCGGAGUUGACCGUUGGUUCAGAUGCAGAGGUGGACAUGGUGAUCAGGAAGCUUGUCACAAUGCUUGCAGAUAAGCUGGAAGGAAAUGAUGAAUCUUGGAUUGAAGAAUUUGUGGAUUGCAAAUUGGGCGGGCAAUUCAGCUAUGUGCAGGCUAGAACGUUGAUCAAAUUGGUCGUUUCUUGUUUGGAGGAAGAUACAAGAAAGAGGUCGACUAUGGAAUCUGUUGUUCAGACUCUCCUAUCAUCUGAUGAAGCUGAUAAAUAG